rfam:Camelus ferus unplaced genomic scaffold scaffold1686, whole genome shotgun sequence.
GAGGGUAUAGCUCAAGUGGUAGAGCACAUGCUUAGCAUGCAUGUAGGUCCUGGGUUCAAUCCCCAGUACCUCCU